rnacentral:rRNA from 1 species
GACGAACGCUGGCGGCGUGCUUAACACAUGCAAGUCGAACGGAAGGGCCCUGCUUUUGUGGGGUGCUCGAGUGGCGAACGGGUGAGUAACACGUGAGUAACCUGCCCUUGACUUUGGGAUAACUUCAGGAAACUGGGGCUAAUACCGGAUAGGAGCUCCUGCUGCAUGGUGGGGGUUGGAAAGUUUCGGCGGUUGGGGAGGGACUCGCGGCUUAUCAGCUUGUUGGUGGGGUAGUGGCUUACCAAGGCUUUGACGGGUAGCCGGCCUGAGAGGGUGACCGGCCACAUUGGGACUGAGAUACGGCCCAGACUCCUACGGGAGGCAGCAGUGGAGAAUAUUGCACAAUGGGCUGAAGCCUGAUGCAGCACCGCCGCGUGCGGGAUGACGUGCUUCGGGUUGUAAACCGCUUUCGCCUGUGACGAAGCGUUAGUGACGGUAAUGGGUAAAGAAGCACCGGCUAACUACGUG